rnacentral:rRNA from 1 species
GAACGCUGUCCAUUCGGUGGUAACACUGAUGAAGACGGAGUGGCGAACGGGUGAGUAGCACGUGAGCAACCUGCCCCGAAGACCGGGACAACACCGGGAAACCGGUGCUAAUACCGGAUGCCCCCACCGGGCCGCAUGACCUGGUGAGGAAAUGGAUUCCGCUUCGGGAGGGGCUCGCGGCCUAUCAGCUAGUUGGUGGGGUAAUGGCCUACCAAGGCGUCGACGGGUAGCUGGUCUGAGAGGACGAUCAGCCACACUGGGACUGAGACACGGCCCAGACUCCUACGGGAGGCAGCAGUGGGGAAUCUUGCGCAAUGGGCGAAAGCCUGACGCAGCAACGCCGCGUGAGGGACGAAGGCUUUCUGAGUUGUAAACCUCUUUCAGCAGGAACGAUAGUGACGGUACCUGCAGAAGAAGCACCGGCCAACUACGUGCCAGCAGCCGCGGUGAUACGUAGGGUGCAAGCGUUGUCCGGAUUUAUUGGGCGUAAAGAGCUCGUAGGCGGUUUGAUAAGUCGGAUGUGAAACCCCCAGGCUUAACCUGGGGCCGCCAUUCGAUACUGUCAUGGCUAGAGUCCGGUAGGGGACCAUGGAAUUCCUGGUGUAGCGGUGAAAUGCGCAGAUAUCAGGAGGAACACCAGUGGCGAAGGCGGUGGUCUGGGCCGGAACUGACGCUGAGGAGCGAAAGCGUGGGGA